rnacentral:rRNA from 1 species
GACGAACGCUGGCGGCGUGCUUAACACAUGCAAGUCGAACGGAAAGGCCCUGCUUGCAGGGUGCUCGAGUGGCGAACGGGUGAGUAACACGUGGGUGAUCUGCCCCUUACUUUGGGAUAAGCCUGGGAAACUGGGUCUAAUACUGGAUAGGACCAUGCUGUAGGUGGUGUGGUGGAAAGAUUAGUUUCGGUAAGGGAUGAGCUCGCGGCCUAUCAGCUUGUUGGUGGGGUAAUGGCCUACCAAGGCGUCGACGGUAGCCGGCCUGAGAGGGUGGACGGCCACAUUGGGACUGAGAUACGGCCCAGACUCCUACGGGAGGCAGCAGUGGGGAAUAUUGCACAAUGGGCGCAAGCCUGAUGCAGCGACGCCGCGUGGGGGAUGACGGCCUUCGGGUUGUAAACUCCUUUCAGCCAUGACGAAGCCCUUGUGGUGACGGUAGUGGUAGAAGAAGCACCGGCUAACUACGUG